AUUUUCUUCUUUAAGCUCUGAGCCAAAAUAGCAGAAGCUACUUGUCUUUGUAUUUGUAGUAAGACAGCAGAGAAAACACAAGAAGAAAAUAAUUCAAGCAUGGGGCCAGACAGAAGAAAACCUAAUAAGACCUAUUUUAAAUCUCUGGUUCUUCAUCCUAAAAUUUGGUACAAUUAUA
rfam:Dipodomys ordii contig_65625, whole genome shotgun sequence.